rnacentral:rRNA from 1 species
GAUGAACGCUAGCGGGAGGCCUAACACAUUCAAGCCGAGCGGUAGAGUUUCUUCGGCAACUUGAGAGCGGCGCACGGGUGCGUAACACGUGUGCAACCUACCUUUAUCUGGGGGAUAGCCUUUCGAAAGGAAGAUUAAUACCCCAUAAUAUAAUGAUUGGCAUCAAUUAUUAUUGAAAACUCCGGUGGAUAGAGAUGGGCACGCGCAAGAUUAGAUAGUUGGUGAGGUAACGGCUCACCAAGUCAAUGAUCUUUAGGGGUCCUGAGAGGGAGAUCCCCCACACUGGUACUGAGACACGGACCAGACUCCUACGGGAGGCAGCAGUGAGGAAUAUUGGACAAUGGGUGAGAGCCUGAUCCAGCCAUCCCGCGUGAAGGAUGACGGUCCUAUGGAGUGUAAACUUCUUUUGUACAGGGAUAAACCUACCCUCGUGAGGGUAGCUGAAGGUACUGUACGAAUAAGCACCGGCUAACUCCGUGC